UACGUAGGUGGCAAGCGUUAUCCGGAUUUAUUGGGCGUAAAGGGAACGCAGGCGGUCUUUUAAGUCUGAUGUGAAAGCCCGCGGCCCAACUGCGGGACUGCUUUGGAAACUGCCCGGCUAGAGUGCUGGAGAGGUAAGCGGAAUUCCUAGUGUAGCGGUGAAAUGCGUAGAUAUUAGGAGGAACACCAGUGGCGAAGGCGGCUUACUGGACAGUAACUGACGUUGAGGCUCGAAAGCGUGGGGAGCAAACAGG
rnacentral:rRNA from 1 species